GUAUCUGUUCUUCUGAUAGCAUUUCUGCUCCAUCCCAGAGCUUCUUAGUUCAUUGAAUUUAUCAAUAGGAAUUGCUUAUUUGCUUGCAGUCUGGAGCUGUGUGUUUGCAUACCUAGGCAGAUGGGCACUUGCCACCCUGUAGAUGUAGAAAGAGGGUGUGGGGUAGGGGUCACCUGGAGCCUGGGAAGGUCAAAGCUUGGCAUCAGAAGUACGUGUAGGGGUCGGGGAUGUGGCUCAGUGGCACCACAGCCUGCCUCGCAAGCUCAAGGUCCUGAGUUCGAUCCCUGGUAACGGAAAAAAAAAAAAGAAGAAGAAAGAAGGUGAAGGGGAAGGCAAAAGGGAAGGGGAAGGGGAAGGCGGAGGAGGGAGCAGGAGGAGGAGGGAGGAGAAGGAGGAGGAGGGGAACUUGCAAACCUCCCCAUGCUCCCAGGGAGCAGUCACACUCACUGUUGCUCAGUAUGGACUAAGCCCAGGGCUCACCAUGAUAAAAGGCGCUGCCAGCCUCCAGAGGAUGAUUGGGUAGGGGGACUGGGGAUUGAACCAGGAGUACUGUACCGCUGAGCUAUAACCCCAGCCCUUUUAAAAAUUAUUUUUAAUUUUGAGACAAGGUCUCCCUAAGUUGCCCAGGCUGGUCUCACACUUGGGACCCUCCUGCCUCAGCCUCCUGAGUAGCUGAUAUCCUGAGUGUGUACCACCAACCUCAGCAGGAAGCAUGAUCUUUCACACCAUAAGGGAGUGCUCAGAGCUUACUUGGAGUUACUGGCUUUUUCUUUGUUUUGUUCUUUCUUUCUUUUUUUUUUUUGAAUUAAGAAAAUAGCCUCCCCUGUAGUCCUAGCACUUGGGAUAGUAAGGCAGGAGACUGAGUUUGAAGCCAGCGUGGGCUGCCUAGUGAGUUCAAGGCUGGCACAGACUACACAGUGAGACUCUGCCACCCACACACACACACACACACACACACACACACACACACAAACAAAGCCCCCAAAGGCGACCAUUCUCUGGUGAGAAGAUUGCUGCUCUUUUAAGAACCUCCAGGGCCAGGGAUUUAGCUCAGUGGCACCACACCUGCCUUGCAAAUGUAAAGUCCUGAGUUUGAUCCCCAGUACCCCCAACACACCAAAAAAGAACAACCCUCCAAUUGAGUAGCCUCACCCCCGUCAUCUGUCUUCCAAGAGUGCUUCUGCAAGUUCCGAAAUGUCACGCUUCUAAGUAUCUCUGAUCUUCAAGCACCAGGGACACAGUCUUUGUGCAUGAUGCUUCUGUCCCGCAGGUCCCAUGUCUUAAAACCAGGAUGACAGAGGCCGAAGGUGGCUCAGCAUGCUGGGCUCCCCUUUCAUCUUCAGCUUUUGAGAUGAAAAAGCCCUCUUCUGGCUUCCACUCUAGGGGAAAGGGCUUGUGGUCCCUCUCCCUUUGUGACAAUACUAUCAGAACAUUGUUACUAGUCCAGGCUGGGGAGAGUAGGGUGUCACAGAGCAGGUGAGAGGUGGGAGGACAUCCCAGCCCUAUGCCAGCAACUGCAGAGAUCUGACAAUUCCAGGGGAAGCAGGAAGAUGAAUCUCUUCCAAGACUCACUGUGUGUUGGCAGGUUCACUGUAUUAAAAGGAGUUAGUAACACUUGCCGGGAUUUUAAAAAUGGACCACAAAGUACUUUCAGCUACAGAAGUAUAGGGAUGAGCUUCUAAUAGUCUCUUAGGAUCAUCUUCAUUUUUUUCUCAAGAGAUGAUCCAAGGAGGCUGCAUAUAUUUCAAGUACUUUAAAAUUUCAAAUAGCUUGUCUGUAAGAGAGCAUAAGCCUUUAAGGCCAUGUAUAGUGGUGGGAAAUAGACUUCUUUAUUUUUUUAAAUUUUUUAGUAGUGCUGAGGAUCAAACCCAGGACCUCAGAUAUCAUUGAGCUCCACCGCCAGCCUGGAACACACUUUCAACUUUUACUGUUUGAGAACAGGAUGUGUCAAAUUGCACAUUUGAAUGUUUUAAAAGACUUCGCUCCUUCAAGUGGGCCAAGGGACAUCUAGGAGAUCCCUGUCUGACCUGUCAUUUUCCUGACCACAUUGCUAUGACAGGCUCGCUCUUUCUCAGAAGUUAAAGGAAGACCCGCAGCUGUGGCUGAUUCUUCCCCUCCUCCGAGCCCAGUGGUUUCCCUGGUAAUGGACAACCUCCUUCCAAGCUUCUACCCUGGGGAGACUCUGGAGCUCUAGUCUGUAAACCUAGCUAGGAAGAACCGCUGUAAAAAUGACUGAAGAGCCUGUAAAAGAGAGCCCGGAGUCCCAAAGUCUCCCACGCCAGCGCCGAUGGAGAAAAACCCCAAGAGCGAAGUGGUGGUCACCACAGUCCCCCUGGUCAGUGAGGUCCAGCUGAUGGCUGCGACAGGGGGGUGCUGAGCUCUCCUGCUACCGCUGCAUCAUCCCCUUCGCCGUGGUGGUCUUCAUCACAGGGAUAGUGGUCACCGCCGUGGCUUACAGCUUCAAUUCCCACGGCUCCAUUAUCUCCAUCUUGGGCCUGGUUCUUCUCUCCUCUGGACUUUUCCUGUUAGCUUCCAGCGCCUUGUGCUGGAAGGUGAGACAAAGGAGAAAGAAAGCCAAGCGACGGGAGAGUCAGACAGCUCUGGUGGCCAAUCAAAGAAGCUUGUUUGCUUAAGACUGAAUGAGACCAAAUGGGAAAUGCGGAAGGAAAACCUGCUGUGACUCAGUCAGCCCAUUCAUCCAGGACCGGCCGGGGAGGGGAUGAUCUGGCUUUGGAGUAGACUAGAAAAAUGGGGGUGGGUUGAAGGGGAAGGCUGGAUGUAGUCCUCAUUUGUGAGGAACGACCUGUCUUCUUUAAUGUCUGCUUUGUGAAUGCCUUCUUUAAUGACAAACUUAUUCCUAAGGGCUGUUUACUAAGACAGAAGAAUCAGCUUUCUCUUUAUGUUAUACACUUUGCCGGGGGCAUAGGACAUACACAGCAUUAGGGCCGUGUUUGGUUCACUUUGGGAAGUAGCCAAGGAGUGAUGAGAAAAUAAUGAGAUAGUCCUGGGACAAGAGAUGCCUGCCUCCAAAAGAAAUAACCUGCGCUCUUUAAGAAGCUGUAUUAUAAAAAUGUUCUGCUGAAGGUCUACAUUGCCUUGGACUUGACAUACUCAUAGGAAAUUCUAGGAUAAUAUGUUUCCAUAUGUUGGUUCGCUGGUGUUUCGUUUUAUUUCUCACUUUCCGUAACUCAUCACUGGUGGUACUUUACCUUGAAAAAUAAACUAAUAUUUUUUAUAUUGUAACAUUGGACAGUUUUAGGUGAUUCUAAUGAUGAGUCAGAAAUAAAAUAAAAAGUAUAGCUGAUAGAUGAUGUGGGGGUUAAGUUAAUAUUAAAAUAAUCAUGUAUAGCACUUUUGAUGAUUUUUAUAUAAAGGUUUAAUGUACAUUUUAUUCAAAGUAAUAAAUACUCCUUGCUGCUGAAAUUUUUUUUUUCUGCUGAAAAUUUUUAAAGAGUUGCUUCUGUUUUAGUUAUUUCUAUUGCAGUCCCAAAUUGUCCAUCUUCCCUGUUUUCUUUCUUUCUUUUUUUUUUUCAUACUGGGGAUAGAACUCAGGACCUGCGCUUGCAAGGGAAGCGCAGUGCCACUGAGCUAAAUCCUGGCUUCCCUGUUUUCAUUUGCAAAAUAUUGAUUGUGUUUUCUCAAAUGGGCGUGUGUUGCUUCUUGUAAAUUUUAUUGGAAGAUUUUUUAAAAUCUUCAUUACUUCGAAGAAUAGUAUUAUUAUCCUUACUAUAUGCUAAGGAUUUCUGUGCUAUUAUCAUUAUUAUUAGUAGUAGUAGCACCAAGGAUUGAACUUAGGACCUUGCACUUGUGAGGUAGGUGCAGUGCCACUGAACUAAAUCUCUGGGUCUCUAUGCCAUUAUAUUUAGGAAAUUAAUGCCUGGAAUCAGAAAUUUUAUAAUGUUCCAUUGCGUAUGAAUUGCAUUAGUGCUGAAUUAGUCAUUAAUUAUUUGCUUAACACAGGUUUCUGAGCACCAACUAUAUGCCAUGCAUUAUGUAAUCUUGCAGGCAGCUGGCUCCAUGGGUUCAAACUGUAAAUAAGGUUAUUGCUUGAAUUCUUCUGUGGACAGUGAACUGUCCCACAAUGAAGACUCUGUCCCACAACUCCAACCAGAAAUAUUCCUCAUUCAUAUAGUUAAACCACAUUAAACCAGAGCAAGGAAAUAGGCACAAAUACUUAAAGCUUGGUUAAAAAAAAAAAAAUCAAAGCCAAGCCUAGCACAUUCCUUGAAAGGCGUUCUACGAGGGAUUUGUAUUGAGGAAUUUAAGUAAACAUGGCAGGAGCCCUCUGGUAAGAGGACUCCCUGGUGCUCGCAUAGUUUUAGUAGCUGGAAAUGCCUCAAUGAUUUUAGAAGUAGUCAAGAUUCCGCCCAGCCAAUGCGCAUGAGUGGAACUGUGCCCAUUCAAUGUCCAUGGAUAAGGCUGAGUUUGACUCGGCUCUUUCUGCCCCAAGAGAGUCAUUCUCCCCACUGCUGUAUGAAGAAAUUUCUCAAGCAAAAUUCAAUGUUCUCCAGUCUGUUCCAAACAUGUGUAUCAAUUUUCACUCUCACUCUCACUCCCAAAGCUCCACCAAGUUAGCCAGACUAUUUGCCAUUCCUGCAAGGGCUCUGGUUUUCCUGCCUUCCUGUCUGUCCAGAGUUCUCUUUUCCCUCCGCUAUAAUGAUAAUGCCACCCUUUCCUCCAUCGCAAGCCACCCCAGUCCUGGUUUGUGUCACCACUCCCACUCCGAUGCCCUCUUCUGAAAGCCUCCCUUUAUCUGAGUAACUGCUCUCUCACCGGUUAUUAUCUCUUCAGUCUCUGAAGAUGCCACUCACUUCCUCUCAGGUUGGUGGUAUAAUAUUUCAUUCCACUUCCAAAGUCCCUUAGAAAUGUGGAAUGUCCUUUUAGUUAACUCUAAUGUUAUAUUUAACGUUAAGUCUCAUAAAGGAACGCCACAUGAACCUAACUGAGAUACUAAGUGAACUCAAGAAUGAAAAAUCAGAAAGUGUUAUUUGGUGCUAAGGACUUUGGGGUGGGGGGUUUGCUGAAGACUGAAUCCAUCUCAUACUUGUUACUAAGCAAGCACUGUACCACUGAGAUAAAUUUUCAACCCCUAAAAACCUUAUGUUUAACUGAGAACUUUCCCCCAGAUAGAUCAUCCCACUCCACCUGCCUCUAGUAUAAGCACUAGGUCUAGAUGAGUAUUUACUACCUUUGUACCUUCAGCUAGACCUGACCUCCUGCUCAUCCACUCUUGAAAAGCAAACUCAUGAAUUAUUUCCGGCCACCAGGGGGCCUCAUAUUGCAACCUGGGUCCUGGACUAAUGUGGAAAGAAUUAUAUUGUAUGGACCCAAAUGGGGUCACAUCUGGAGAUAGCAAUGUUUCUCCUAGCUGUGAGGAGUUGGAGGAGAUUCUCCCAUUGCCGGACCCCCUAUUCUCUUCCCUAAAUCACCUUACAGUGGCCAUCUCAGGGCUCUUCCAGCAUGGCAAGGACUUGCCCUAUCUGCGGAACCUCCUUCCAGUCACAUUCAAAGGUGUGCACCCCUGCCAAGCUAUAAGGCACAGGGAUGAUCCUACUAACCAUGAAGGACAACUCCCAGGAGGAAGACUAGCCUUGAAUUAUAAUCACAGUUCUCCUAUAACCUGUCCUCACUGAGCCACAUGUAGCUUCAUGAACGGUUCUAUUGUACACAGGUGAGUGUUAAAUGUGUGCAUAGAUGAUGUCAUGUGUAUAUAAAUAUAUUAAAAAGAUCAUCUGACCUCAUCCCCACCCAUUAGGAAUCAGCCAAAUCAAUGGCAGGGUUGCCCCCUCCCUGACCAUCCCAGAGUGUACAAGGAC
ensembl:lncRNA